AAAAAAAAAAAAAAAAAAAAAAAGAAUUUUGAACAACAAUCUAUUUCUUCAGUAAAUAUUUACAAAACCAACAAUCCCUUUUUCUUUCUGGUUGUUCUUCUCCUCCUUCUUUCUUUCUCUUUUAAAACUUAAAAUUUUCCAAAGCGGAGAGAGCAUCAGAGAGGU
rnacentral:ribozyme from 13 species